rnacentral:tRNA from 1 species
AUUUUUUUAGUAUACCUGUACAUUUAGCUUCCAACUAAAAAGACUAAUUUUUUAGAAAAAAUA